rnacentral:misc_RNA from 1 species
GAUGAAGAACGUAGCGAAAUGCGAUAAGUAAUGUGAAUUGCAGAAUUCAGUGAAUCAUCGAAUCUUUGAACGCACAUUACGCCCCUUGGUAUUCCGAGGGCAUGCCUGUUCGAGCGUCAUUAUAACCCUCAAGCUCAGCUUGGUGUUGGGGCCUGCUGCACUGGCAGCCCUUAAAAUCAGUGGCGGCGCCAUCUGGCUCUAAGCGUAGUAAUUCUUCUCGCUAUGGAGUCCUGGUGGAUGCUUGCCAUCAACCCCCAAUUUUUCUAUGGUUGACCUCGGAUCAGGUAGGGAUACCCGCUGAACUUAAGCAUAUCAAUAAGCGGAGGA